rnacentral:rRNA from 1 species
GCCAAAAACUAGCCUGCACAACACACCAUAAAUCACUUCACACAAACUAAACCAUUUACCAAAUCCAGUAUAUGAGAUAGAACUUUAAACACAGCGCAAUAGCCCAAAUCGUACCACAAGGGAACCAUGAAAGACUAAUUAAUAACCACAAGCACAGCACAGCAGGGCUAAAGCCCCGUACCUCCUGCAUCAUGGUUUAGCCAGCAGCUCGCCGACAAAGUGCCCUGUGUCCGCCACCCCGAAACCAGACGAGCUAC